rnacentral:lncRNA from 1 species
ACCAUCCCCAGCAAAAACUCCAGCACCAUAUGGAGAUCCACCUCUAACUGAAUCCAUUUCAAACAUUCCAGCACCAAAAGUAUAACCAAUUGGAACAUACAGCAUUCCAUGAUGAACUAGCUGUGUUAUUGCUGUCCACCUACAAUACAAUAGUAGUUACAUAAAAGUCAUGAUAUUAACUAUCACAAUAAUACAUUAAUGCAUGUCUGCAAAUUCUAGCUCAACUGUUCAAAAUGUUAAUAAUAUUAUGUUUGACGUCAACAGCAGAGUUCGAACCCUCACUCUCACAUUAAGUAUGUGAGUUUUAAUAAUUAUUACGACUUCGUCUACCACAAAAAAUCAUAAUAAUAUCAAUUUAUUUCUACCACAUAUUAAUUUAUUGGCUUGUCUAGAUAUUUUGCUCCAAAAUAAGAUCCUCUAUAUUUCAAAAAAGUUCUUCAAUCAUACCCCACCCUAAAUUAUAUUGGUUUGCACAAAACCAAAAGCACACGUGGUAUUGUACAAAAUUUUGUCCCCUAGUUUUCAUGAACUAUUAUUGUUUCUAAUGGAAUAAGAACAAUUUCCAACAAAAAGAACAUUUUGCAACAAGUUUUAAGCAAUCAAAUUAUGAUUAAAUAUGUAUUUUUAGUUCCUGUAUUUAGUCCCUCCAAAAUAGAACAAAAUUUAUGCAAUACUAAGUUUAGAAAAAUUAAUUUUUUAAUCAGUAAUAAUUACUAAAAAUUCACAUGAACACAAUCGUGCGUUCAAUCUAAUAAGAUCGAUUUUUCUUUCUGUUCAAUUAGAAUUACGAACUCAAAAAUAAAAUUUCAUAGAAAAACUUACGCAGUGGUUUCUUGGCCACCACCCUGAGUACCAGUGCUAACAAAAAACCCAGCAGGUAAACCAGCAAGCUUCUGUUCCCUCCACAACUGCCCGGUCGAAUCGAAAAACGCCUUCAUCUGCGCCGCCAUACUGCCAUACCUCGUCGGAAACCCGAACAACAACCCAUCAGCCUCCACCAAAUUCUCAGCAGAUAUCAAAGGAACCCCAUCAUCAACCUUCUCAGGUGCUUUCAUGAGUUCCAACACUUCCUUAGGAAGUGUCUCCACCACACGGUACAAAACCCCUUCCACACCAUCAACAGAAUCAACCCCUUUUUUCA